UACGUAGGUGGCAAGCGUUGUCCGGAAUUAUUGGGCGUAAAGCGCGCGCAGGCGGUCCUUUAAGUCUGAUGUGAAAGCCCACGGCUCAACCGUGGAGGGUCAUUGGAAACUGGAGAACUUGAGUACAGAAGAGGAAAGCGGAAUUCCACGUGUAGCGGUGAAAUGCGUAGAGAUGUGGAGGAACACCAGUGGCGAAGGCGGCUUUCUGGUCUGUAACUGACGCUGAGGCGCGAAAGCGUGGGGAGCAACAGG
rnacentral:rRNA from 1 species